rnacentral:rRNA from 1 species
AGAAGCGCAUACGGUGGAUGCCUUGGCAGUCAGAGGCGAUGAAAGACGUGGUAGCCUGCGAAAAGCUUCGGGGAGUCGGCAAACAGACUUUGAUCCGGAGAUGUCUGAAUGGGGGAACCCAGCCAUCAUAAGAUGGUUAUCUUACGCUGAAUACAUAGGCGUAAGAGGCGAACCAGGGGAACUGAAACAUCUAAGUACCCUGAGGAAAAGAAAUCAACCGAGAUUCCCUUAGUAGUGGCGAGCGAACGGGGACUAGCCCUUAAGUGGCUUUGAGAUUAGCGGAACGCUCUGGAAAGUGCGGCCAUAGUGGGUGAUAGCCCUGUACGCGAAAAUCUCUUAGUCAUGAAAUCGAGUAGGACGGAGCACGAGAAACUUUGUCUGAAUAUGGGGGGACCAUCCUCCAAGGCUAAAUACUACUGACUGACCGAUAGUGAACUAGUACCGUGAGGGAAAGGCGAAAAGAACCCCGGAGAGGGGAGUGAAAUAGAUCCUGAAACCGUAUGCGUACAAGCAGUGGGAGCCCACUUUGUUGGGUGACUGCGUACCUUUUGUAUAAUGGGUCAGCGACUUAUUUUCAGUGGCGAGCUUAACCGAAUAGGGGAGGCGUAGCGAAAGCGAGUCUUAAUAGGGCGUCUAGUCGCUGGGAAUAGACCCGAAACCGGGCGAUCUAUCCAUGGGCAGGUUGAAGGUUGGGUAACACUAACUGGAGGACCGAACCGACUACCGUUGAAAAGUUAGCGGAUGACCUGUGGAUCGGAGUGAAAGGCUAAUCAAGCUCGGAGAUAGCUGGUUCUCCUCGAAAGCUAUUUAGGUAGCGCCUCAUGUAUCACUGUAGGGGGUAGAGCACUGUUUCGGCUAGGGGGUCAUCCCGACUUACCAAACCGAUGCAAACUCCGAAUACCUACAAGUGCCGAGCAUGGGAGACACACGGCGGGUGCUAACGUCCGUCGUGAAAAGGGAAACAACCCAGACCGUCAGCUAAGGUCCCAAAGUUAUGGUUAAGUGGGAAACGAUGUGGGAAGGCUUAGACAGCUAGGAGGUUGGCUUAGAAGCAGCCACCCUUUAAAGAAAGCGUAAUAGCUCACUAGUCGAGUCGGCCUGCGCGGAAGAUGUAACGGGGCUCAAACCAUACACCGAAGCUACGGGUAUCACGUAAGUGAUGCGGUAGAGGAGCGUUCUGUAAGCCUGUGAAGGUGAGUUGAGAAGCUUGCUGGAGGUAUCAGAAGUGCGAAUGCUGACAUGAGUAACGACAAUGGGUGUGAAAAACACCCACGCCGAAAGACCAAGGUUUCCUGCGCAACGUUAAUCGACGCAGGGUUAGUCGGUCCCUAAGGCGAGGCUGAAAAGCGUAGUCGAUGGAAAACAGGUUAAUAUUCCUGUACUUCUGGUUAUUGCGAUGGAGGGACGGAGAAGGCUAGGCCAGCUUGGCGUUGGUUGUCCAAGUUUAAGGUGGUAGGCUGAGAUCUUAGGUAAAUCCGGGAUCUUAAGGCCGAGAGCUGAUGACGAGUCGUCUUUUAGAUGACGAAGUGGUUGAUGCCAUGCUUCCAAGAAAAGCUUCUAAGCUUCAGGUAACCAGGAACCGUACCCCAAACCGACACAGGUGGUUGGGUAGAGAAUACCAAGGCGCUUGAGAGAACUCGGGUGAAGGAACUAGGCAAAAUGGCACCGUAACUUCGGGAGAAGGUGCGCCGGUGAGGGUGAAGGACUUGCUCCGUAAGCUCAUGCCGGUCGAAGAUACCAGGCCGCUGCGACUGUUUAUUAAAAACACAGCACUCUGCAAACACGAAAGUGGACGUAUAGGGUGUGACGCCUGCCCGGUGCCGGAAGGUUAAUUGAUGGGGUUAGCUAACGCGAAGCUCUUGAUCGAAGCCCCGGUAAACGGCGGCCGUAACUAUAACGGUCCUAAGGUAGCGAAAUUCCUUGUCGGGUAAGUUCCGACCUGCACGAAUGGCGUAACGAUGGCGGCGCUGUCUCCACCCGAGACUCAGUGAAAUUGAAAUCGCUGUGAAGAUGCAGUGUAUCCGCGGCUAGACGGAAAGACCCCGUGAACCUUUACUAUAGCUUUGCACUGGACUUUGAAUUUGCUUGUGUAGGAUAGGUGGGAGGCUUUGAAGCGUGGACGCCAGUCUGCGUGGAGCCAACCUUGAAAUACCACCCUGGCAACUUUGAGGUUCUAACUCAGGUCCGUUAUCCGGAUCGAGGACAGUGUAUGGUGGGUAGUUUGACUGGGGCGGUCUCCUCCUAAAGAGUAACGGAGGAGUACGAAGGUGCGCUCAGACCGGUCGGAAAUCGGUCGUAGAGUAUAAAGGCAAAAGCGCGCUUGACUGCGAGACAGACACGUCGAGCAGGUACGAAAGUAGGUCUUAGUGAUCCGGUGGUUCUGUAUGGAAGGGCCAUCGCUCAACGGAUAAAAGGUACUCCGGGGAUAACAGGCUGAUACCGCCCAAGAGUUCAUAUCGACGGCGGUGUUUGGCACCUCGAUGUCGGCUCAUCACAUCCUGGGGCUGAAGCCGGUCCCAAGGGUAUGGCUGUUCGCCAUUUAAAGUGGUACGCGAGCUGGGUUUAGAACGUCGUGAGACAGUUCGGUCCCUAUCUGCCGUGGACGUUUGAGAUUUGAGAGGGGCUGCUCCUAGUACGAGAGGACCGGAGUGGACGAACCUCUGGUGUUCCGGUUGUCACGCCAGUGGCAUUGCCGGGUAGCUAUGUUCGGAAUAGAUAACCGCUGAAAGCAUCUAAGCGGGAAACUAGCCUCAAGAUGAGAUCUCACUGGAACCUUGAGUUCCCUGAAGGGCCGUCGAAGACUACGACGUUGAUAGGUUGGGUGUGUAAGCGCUGUGAGGCGUUGAGCUAACCAAUACUAAUUGCCCGUGAGGCUUGACC